CUUGGUCAUUUAGAGGAAGUAAAAGUCGUAACAAGGUUUCCGUAGGUGAACCUGCGGAAGGAUCAUUAUUGAAAUUAUAGGCGAGGGUUGUAGCUGGCCUCUCGGGGCAUGUGCACACCCGAGCCCUUAAUCCCACACACACCUGUGAACCUAUUGUAAGGGCCCGUAAAAAAGGCCUUUACGUCUUUAUCACCUACCCGAAGUCUCAUAGAAUGUAAACAUAUGUCCUCGCCUUAAAAAAGCGUUGAUAAAAUUUAUACAACUUUCAACAACGGAUCUCUUGGCUCUCGCAUCGAUGAAGAACGCAGCGAAAUGCGAUAAGUAAUGUGAAUUGCAGAUUUUCAGUGAAUCAUCGAAUCUUUGAACGCACCUUGCGCUCCUUGGUAUUCCGAGGAGCAUGCCUGUUUGAGUGUCAUUAAAUUCUCAAACUCUGAUUGAUUCGUUUCAAUCGAGCUUUGGAUUUGGAGCGUGCCGGCGUCGGUCGGCUCCUCUUAAAUGCAUCAGCGGAAUCUAACGUUUCGGAUGUCAGUGUGAUAAUCAUGUUGCGCUGUCUGUCUGAUCCGAAAGCCCGCUCACAAUGGUCUUCGGACAACUUCAUAUCAAAUUUGACCUCAAAUCAGGUAGGACUACCCGCUGAACUUAAGCAUAUCAAUAAGCGGAGGA
rnacentral:rRNA from 1 species